CCCUUCCUCUCCAUUUGCUUCUCUCUCUCUCUCUAAAAUAAUCUUCCAAUCAAUACGCGUUAUAUUAUUUAUUCUUUCUCAACCAAUUCAAAUGAGACUAAACUAGAAUUUUUUUUAAAAAAAUUAUAUUAUUGUUAUUAUUUUUUUCAAAUGAGAUUAUACAUAACAUUAGUUUGCUUUGAAUUAGAAAGUUUAAAUAUUAAUAAGGAAGUUUUUAGAUAAGAGCUAGCGCUAGAUACAACCGUCAAGAUCAUUAUUUUAUGUUUAAAAAAAUAAAUUUAAUUUAAAAUAUAAAUAAUUA
rnacentral:lncRNA from 1 species